rnacentral:snRNA from 1 species
UUCACAUUCUAGGGACAUCCAAUAAAGUUAGAACGACACAAAGAAGAUUAGCAUAGCCCUGGGCAAGGAUGACGUGCACAAAUCGAGAAAUGAUCCAAUUUUUA